GGGCUGUUAGCUCAGCUGGUAGAGCAUCUGCUUGACGUGCAGAGGGUCAGGGAUUCGAGUUCCUUACAGCCCA
rnacentral:tRNA from 1 species